rnacentral:rRNA from 1 species
AGUGAACGCUGGCGGUAGGCCUAACACAUGCAAGUCGAACGGCAGCACAGUAAGAGCUUGCUCUUACGGGUGGCGAGUGGCGGACGGGUGAGGAAUACAUCGGAAUCUACUUUUUCGUGGGGGAUAACGUAGGGAAACUUACGCUAAUACCGCAUACGACCUACGGGUGAAAGCAGGGGAUCUUCGGACCUUGCGCGAUUGAAUGAGCCGAUGUCGGAUUAGCUAGUUGGCGGGGUAAAGGCCCACCAAGGCGACGAUCCGUAGCUGGACUGAGAGGAUGGUCGGCCACACGGGAACUGAGACACGGUCCAGACGCCUACGGGAGGCAGCAGUGGGGAAUAGUGGACAAUGGGCGCAAGCCUGAUCCAGCCAUACCACGUGGGUGAAGAAGGCCUUCGGGUUGUGAAGCCCUUUUGUUGGGAAAGAAAAGCAGCAGGUUAAUACCCCGCUGUUCUGACGGUACCCAAAGAAUAAGCACCGGCUAACUUCGUG